UCCUAGGUGACUGAGUAAAGUAUUAGAUUUUUAAUCUAAAAACGGCUAUUUUAUGCCCCUAAGAG
rnacentral:tRNA from 1 species